rnacentral:rRNA from 1 species
UACGUAGGGUGCGAGCGUUGCCCGGAUUUAUUGGGCGUAAAGGGCGCGUAGGCGGCCACGCACGUCCGUUGUGAAAUCGCCCGGCUCAACUGGGCGGGGUCAGCGGAUACGGUGUGGCUAGAGCAAGCUAGGGGGCAAUGGAAUUCCCGGUGUAGUGGUGGAAUGCGUAGAUAUCGGGAGGAACACCAGUGGCGAAGGCGGUUGCCUGGAGCUUUGCUGACGCUGAUGCGCGAAAGCGUGGGGAGCGAUCGG